rnacentral:rRNA from 1 species
GACGAACGCUGGCGGCGUGCUUAACACAUGCAAGUCGAACGAAGUGGCGAACGGGUGAGUAAUACGUGGGUAACCUGCCCUCCUUUUUGGGAUAAGCCUUGGAAACGGGGUCUAAUACCGAAUAAAGGGGGAUGGGCUCGCGGCCUAUCAGCUUGUUGGUGGGGUGAUGGCCUACCAAGGCUGUGACGGGUAGCCGGCCUGAGAGGGUGACCGGCCACAUUGCGACUGAGAGACGGUCCAGAGUCCGACGGGAGGCAGCAGUGGGGGAUAUUGAACAAUGGGCGAAAGCCUGAUGCAGCGAAGGCGGGUGGGGGAUGAAGGCUUUCGGGUUGUAAACCGCUUUCGUUAUAGAAAGGGUAAGUGGAGAAGAAGCGCCGGCUAACUACGUGCCAGCAGCCGCGGUAAUUC